rnacentral:tRNA from 6 species
GCCCUUGUAGCUUAAAGGAUAGAGUGCUGGCCUCCGAAGCCGGUGAUGUGGGUUCGAUUCCCGCCAAGGGCA